rnacentral:rRNA from 1 species
AUUGAACGCUGGCGGCAGGCUUAACACAUGCAAGUCGAGCGAGCGGCGGACGGGUGAGUAAUGUCUGGGAAACUGCCUGAUGGAGGGGGAUAACUACUGGAAACGGUCGCUAAUAUCGCAUACCAUCAGAUGUGCCCAGAUGGGAUUAGCUAGUAGGGGGGGUAAUGGCUCACCUAGGCGACGAUCCCUAGCUGGUCUGAGAGGAUGACCAGCCAACCGGGAACUGAGACACGGUCAAGCCUCCUACGGGAGGCAGCAGUGGGGAAGAUUGGACAAUGGGCGCAAGCCGGAUGCAGCCAUGCCGCGUGGGUGAAGAAGGCCUUCGGGUUGUAAAGCACUUUCAGCGAGGAGGCGUUACUCGCAGAAGAAGCACCGGCUAACUCCGUGCCAGCAGCCGCGGUAAUAC